UCUUCCGUAGUAUAGUGGUCAGUAUGUGAGCUUGUCAUUGAACAACGCUCGAGACCCGGGUUCAAUUCCCGGCGGGAGAG
rnacentral:tRNA from 2 species